rnacentral:SRP_RNA from 1 species
UCGGUCCCUCGCGACGCUAGGUCGAAAACCCCGCCAGGGCCGGAAGGCAGCAACGGUAUCGACUGAUGCGGGUGCCGAGGUCAACCGG